rnacentral:rRNA from 1 species
CACGGAGGGUGCAAGCGGUAUUCGGAAUCACUGGGCGUAAAGCGCGCGUAGGCGGUCUCUUAAGUCAGAUGUGAAAGCCCGGGGCUCAACCCCGGAAGUGCAUUUGAAACUAAGGGACUUGAGUAUGGGAGAGGGAAGUGGAAUUCCUGGUGUAGCGGUGAAAUGCGUAGAUAUCAGGAGGAACACCGGUGGCGAUGGCGACUUCCUGGCCCAAUACUGACGCUGAGGCGCGAAGGCGUGGGGGGCAAACAGG